AACGAACGCUGGCGGCAUGCCUAACACAUGCAAGUCGAACGAGACCUUCGGGUCUAGUGGCGCACGGGUGCGUAACGCGUGGGAACCUGCCUUUAGGUUCGGAAUAACUCAGAGAAAUUUGAGCUAAUACCGGAUGAUGUCUUCGGACCAAAGAUUUAUCGCCUUUAGAUGGGCCCGCGUUGGAUUAGCUAGUUGGUGGGGUAAAGGCCUACCAAGGCGACGAUCCAUAGCUGGUCUGAGAGGAUGAUCAGCCACACUGGGACUGAGACACGGCCCAGACUCCUACGGGAGGCAGCAGUGGGGAAUAUUGGACAAUGGGCGAAAGCCUGAUCUAGCAAUGCCGCGUGAGUGAUGAAGGCCUUAGGGUUGUAAAGCUCCUUUACCCGAGAUGAUAAUGACAGUAUCGGGAGAAUAAGCUCCGGCUAACUCCGUG
rnacentral:rRNA from 1 species